rnacentral:lncRNA from 1 species
UACAGACAAGGCCUAAAUUAUAAAAAUUUGCUUUGUAAUUAUAAUUCAGAUACACAAGUUUUAUAUAUAGAUAUUUUUUUCGCUUCGUUUAUUUUAUUUAGAAAUAAACUUAGCUGUAAAUGUGAAUCAAUUAGAAUUUGAACUCAGGACCUCGGGUACCAACCACCAAGAUUUUUUACCACUUACACUAGAGACAAUCGGUGAUACACAAGUUUUAUAUAAACACAAGUUAGCGAGUAGAGUAGCGGUUAUAGAUAAGAGUAUCAGUACAGUUAUAUGAAUUGAAUGAAUACGUAAUUUAAUAUAAUAUUCGGGUACCAACUAUCAAGUCCUUUGCCAAUUACACUAGGGAUGAUCGGUGAUACACAAGUUUUAUAUAAACACAAGUUAGCGAAUAGAGUAGCGGUUAUAGAUAAGAAUAUCAGUACAGUUAUAUGAAUUUGAAUGAAUACGUAAUUUAAUAGAAUAUUUUAUAGUAAAAAUCUAUUUAA